rnacentral:rRNA from 1 species
AUUGAACGCUGGCGGCGUGCCUAACACAUGCAAGUCGAGCGGUGAGAGGGAGCUUGCUCCUUUGAUUAGCGGCGCACGGGUGAGUAACACGUGGAUAAUCUGCCCAUGGGUUCGGGAUACCAGCUGGAAACGGCUGACAAUACCGGGUAAUAUGCAAUUUUAUCGUUGUGUCAAAGGCGGUGUAAGCCGUCGCCUAUGGAUGAGUCCGCGUCUCAUUAGCUAGUGGGUGGGGUAAUGGCCUACCAAGGCAGUGAUGAGUAGCCGGCCUGAGAGGGUGAUCGGCCACGCUGGGACUGGAACACGGCCCAGACUCCUACGGGAGGCAGCAGUGGGGAAUAUUGCGCAAUGGACGGAAGUCUGACGCAGCGACGCCGCGUGAGGGAUGAAGGCCUUCGGGUCGUAAACCUCUGUCAGGAGGGAAGAACCGCCGGAGCAGGAAAUGGCUUUGGUCUGACGGUACCUCCAAAGGAAGCACCGGCUAACUCCGUGCCAGCCGCCGCCGUAA